GGCAGCAUGGCAUAGUGGUUUGAAUGUUGGACUAGGACUCCUGGAGACCUGGGUUUGAAUCCCUUCUCAGCCA